AAUGCAAGUCGAGCGGGGGUUAUUGGGGUGCUUGCACCCUGGUAAUUCUAGNUUGCGGACGGGUGAGUAACACGUGGGUAACCUGCCCUUAACAGGGGGAUAACAAUCAGAAAUGGUUGCUAACACCCCAUAAGCUCACGAAGCGGCAUCGUUUAGUGAGAAAAUAUUUAUAGGUUAAGGAGGGGCCCGCGUCUGAUUAGCCAGUUGGCGGGGUAACGGCCCACCAAAGCGACGAUCAGUAGCCGACCUGAGAGGGUGACCGGCCACAUUGGGACUGAGACACGGCCCAAACUCCUACGGGAGGCAGCAGUGGGGAAUAUUGCACAAUGGGCGCAAGCCUGAUGCAGCAACGCCGCGUGAAGGAAGAAGGGUUUCGGCUCGUAAACUUCUUUAGGCAGGGACGAAGAAAGUGACGGUACCUGCAGAAUAAGCCCCGGCUAACUACGUGCCAGCAGCCGCGGUAAUACGUAGGGGGCAAGCGUUAUCCGGAAUUACUGGGUGUAAAGGGUGAGUAGGCGGCAUAGCAAGUCAUAUGUGAAAGCCCGGGGCUUAACCCCGGGACUGCAUAAGAAACUGUUAAGCCUGGAGUACAGGAGAGGUAAGCGGAAUUCCUAGUGUAGCCGGUGAAAUGCGUAGAUAUUAGGAAGAACACCAGUGGCGAAGGCGGCUUACUGGACUGAAACUGACGCUGAGUCACNAAAGCGUGGGGAGCGAACAGGAUUAGAUACCCUGGUAGUCCACCCUGUAAACGAUGAGUGCUAGGUGUUGGGGCCGAGAGCCCUCGGUUGCCCGCANCUAACGCAAUAAGCACUCCNCCUGGGGAGUACNGUCNCNAGAUUGAAACUCCNAGGAAUUUGACNGNGGGCCCGCACAAGCGGUGGAGCAUGUGGGUUUAAUUCCAANCCACCCCNAANAACCCUUACCAAGGCUUGACNUGGACCCCA
rnacentral:rRNA from 1 species